AUAUUGUUGUUGGUACACCCGGGAGAGUGUUUGAUAUGUUAAACAGAAGAUACCUUUCUCCAAAAUGGAUCAAAAUGUUUGUUUUGGAUGAAGCAGAUGAAAUGUUGAGCCGUGGUUUUAAGGAUCAAAUCUAUGAGAUUUUCCAAAAACUAAACACAAGUAUCCAGGUUGUGUUGCUUUCUGCCACAAUGCCAACUGAUGUGUUGGAAGUGACCAAAAAAUUCAUGAGAGAUCCAAUUCGAAUUCUGGUGAAAAAGGAAGAAUUGACCCUUGAAGGAAUCAAACAGUUUUAUAUUAAUGUUGAGAGAGAGGAGUGGAAGUUGGAUACACUUUGUGACUUGUACGAGACACUGACCAUCACGCAGGCUGUUAUUUUUCUCAAUACGAGGCGCAAGGUGGACUGGCUGACUGAGAAAAUGCAUGCCAGAGAUUUCACAGUUUCUGCUCUGCAUGGUGACAUGGACCAGAAGGAGAGAGAUGUUAUCAUGAGGGAAUUCCGGUCAGGGUCAAGUCGUGUUCUGAUCACUACUGACUUGUUGGCUCGCGGGAUUGAUGUGCAACAAGUGUCUUUGGUUAUAAAUUAUGAUCUACCUACCAAUCGUGAAAACUAUAUUCACAGGUGAGAAGCCAGCAUCUUGGCUGUAUGGAAAAAAUUCAUACGUUUUUCUACUGUGAUUUGUAUGAAAGGUAACAUCAAAUCAAGGAAUAGAUUCAGUAAAGUCAGUAGUGUUCGGUAAGAUGAUGUAAUUAAAUUUGUACUAGGGAAGGUUGAUGAGAACAAAGUGGGAAAACUUGUAAACAUUGCCCAGAUUGUGGACAUAGGUUUUUUUUUCCACAAUUGUUGGUCUUAGCUUAUGCUUGAGCUUUUAGUGAUGUUGUGUCCAUGUGUUUUUCUUGGUGAUUUUUUCUAUAGUUGGGAUUUUCUUGGUGUCGCUGGUAGCAAUUUGAGUGAACCCUGGUUUAGUUAUAGUGGCUUUAUCCCUAAAUAA
rnacentral:sRNA from 1 species